rnacentral:tRNA from 1 species
GCUCGUGUAGUUUAGUGGUUUAUAAUUUUGCACUUGUAAUGCAAGGGUCAUGUGUUCGAAUCACAUCAUGAGCA